rnacentral:rRNA from 1 species
AGUGAACGCUGGCAGUAGGCCUAACACAUGCAAGUAGAACGGCAGCACAGUAAGAGCUUGCUCUUACGGGUGGCGAGUGGCGGACGGGUGAGGAAUACAUCGGAAUCUACUUUUUCGUGGGGGAUAACGUAGGGAAACUUACGCUAAUACCGCAUACGACCUACGGGUGAAAGCAGGGGAUCUUCGGACCUUGCGCGAUUGAAUGAGCCGAUGUCGGAUUAGCUAGUUGGCGGGGUAAAGGCCCACCAAGGCGACGAUCCGUAGCUGGUCUGAGAGGAUGAUCAGCCACACUGGAACUGAGACACGGUCCAGACUCCUACGGGAGGCAGCAGUGGGGAAUAUUGGACAAUGGGCGCAAGCCUGAUCCAGCCAUACCGCGUGGGUGAAGAAGGCCUUCGGGUUGUAAAGCCCUUUUGUUGGGAAAGAAAAGCAGCAGGUUAAUACCCCGCUGUUCUGACGGUACCCAAAGAAUAAGCACCGGCUAACUUCGUG